CCUAAUUGAAAAUAGGCACUACUAGAGUAUAUGAAUAUAUAAAAUCUUAAUUAACAUUCAAUACAGAGAUCAAUAUUUCAACAGCUCAUAUGAUCAAGAACAUCAUUUCUUGCCAUACUUAUCAAAAGCCAAAUAAAAGCACAAAGAAAUUACACCUAAGAAUUAGUAUAAUGUUCAAGCCAACAGUGAUAUAGAAAGAGCAUAUAACAAAAGCACACAUCAAACACAUACAUGGCGCACACACUACAACAAAUUUGGCAAUUACCUAAACCUAAAACAAUGCCAAACAAAGUCUGCUUCGAGCUUAUAUAUGAUCUUAGAUGCUAAAAUUAAAUAAAAAUCCAUACAGAAAAGGAGUACAGCUUCCAAACUUGCGUGUAGUAGUAUACUGUUAGAUUUUUCUUGAUAUGUAGCAAACAAAUCGGACCAUGAUGCUUCAGUUCCCCAAGAAAGAAGAAAAAAUGAAGAAAAGCUGAUGUAUUUGACAUUAAAAUCGCCUUUUUUUUUAUGAAGAAGAGAGAGAACCCUCAACUCAGAUUAGACUGCUAGGAGAGUGAAAAGGCAUGCAGGAGUAGGGUUUCUUUUCUUCUUCUUGAGUGAACCCAUUUUUAUCUGUAUCUAAACCUCCACUUUCUUGUUCUUUCAAGCUUGGUUGAGGAGGGUGGUAGUUUUGGUGCGGUUGGUAGAUAGCAAAAGAUGGAAUGGCGAUGAUGAAAGUGAGAGGAUAAUGAUGAGAGGAAGAAGGAGGGAGAGGACAUGAUGAUUGUUGUAGCCUUUUUUUCUUCGAAUAGAGAGAUAACAGGUUUUUAUGCUUUCACAUGGAGAUAAUUAUCAUGGACACCAGCUGAAGCACCUUUUUUUUUACUCAAU
rnacentral:lncRNA from 1 species